rnacentral:rRNA from 1 species
CGGACAGAUGGGAGCUUGCUCCCUGAUGUUAGCGGCGGACGGGUGAGUAACACGUGGGUAACCUGCCUGUAAGACUGGGAUAACUCCGGGAAACCGGGGCUAAUACCGGAUGCUUGUUUGAACCGCAUGGUUCAAACAUAAAAGGUGGCUUCGGCUACCACUUACAGAUGGACCCGCGGCGCAUUAGCUAGUUGGUGAGGUAAUGGCUCACCAAGGCGACGAUGCGUAGCCGACCUGAGAGGGUGAUCGGCCACACUGGGACUGAGACACGGCCCAGACUCCUACGGGAGGCAGCAGUAGGGAAUCUUCCGCAAUGGACGAAAGUCUGACGGAGCAACGCCGCGUGAGUGAUGAAGGUUUUCGGAUCGUAAAGCUCUGUUGUUAGGGAAGAACAAGUACCGUUCGAAUAGGGCGGUACCUUGACGGUACCUAACCAGAAAGCCACGGCUA